GUAGUCCUGGCAGUAAACGGUGUGCGCUUGGUGUGAGGGGAAUCGACCCCCCUUGUGCCGGAGCUAACGCGUUAAGCGCACCGCCUGGGAAGUACGGUCGCAAGACUAAAACUCAAAGAAAUUGACGGGGACCCGCACAAGCGGUGGAGUAUGUGGCUUAAUUCGAUGCAACGCGAAGAACCUUACCUAGGCUUGACAUGCAUCUCUAAGCGCGUGAAAGCGCGUGACCCUUCGGGGGAUUUGCACAGGUGCUGCAUGGCCGUCGUCAGCUCGUGUCGUGAGAUGUUGGGUUAAGUCCCGCAACGAGCGCAACCCUUGUGAACAGUUGCCAGCACUUAAGGUGGGAACUCUGUUCAGACUGCCCAGAUCAACUGGGA
rnacentral:rRNA from 1 species